NNNNNNNNNNNNNNNNNNNNNNNNNNNNNNNNNNNNNNNNNNNNNNNNNNNNNNNNCCUUCUUCCCUUCUUCCCUUCCUUCUUUCUUCCCUUCCUUCCUCUCCUUCCCUCUGCCUCUGUCACACAUUUAUCUCUUCCUUCUUCUUCCCUUCUUCCUUCCUUCUUUUCUUCAUUCCUUCUUUCUCUUCUUUCCUCCUUUUUUAUAUUCCUUUCCUUCUUCCUUCUUUCAUUCUUUCUUGAUUUCCUUCUUCCUUUCUUCCUUCUUUCCUCCUUUCAUUCUUUUCUUCUUUCUUUUUCUUCUCUUUUCUUUCAUUAUUCCUUCUUUAUUCUUUCCUUCCUUUCCUUCUUUCCUUCUUUCCUUCUUUCCUUCUUUCCUUCUUUCCUCCUUUCCCUUUUCUUCCUCUUUCUUCUUUCUUCUUUCUUCUUUCUUCUUUCUUCUUUCUUCUUUCUUCUUUCUUCUUUCUUCUUUCUUCUUUCUUCUUUCUUCUUUCUUCUUUCUUCUUCCUUCUUCCUUCUUCCUUCUUUCCUUCUUUCUUUUUUCCUUCUUUCCUUCUUUCUUUUUUGCUCUCUCUGCCACUGCCCCACGUAUCUCUUUCUCCAUUCUCUAUUUCACUCUUCCUUUCUCUUUCUGUCUCCCUCUGCCCUCUCCCUCUUUGCCCUGGGCCCUCUAUUUCUGCAUUUCUCCCUCUCCUUCCUUUCCCUCUCCUCCUUUCUCCCUGUCUCUCACCCUCCACCUCCUCUCCCGGUGCCCUCGCGGCGGUGCAAAGCCCUCGGUGCCCCCUGGGGGGCAGCACACGCCGCGCAGUGCUCCCUCCGGGCAGGUGAGCACCGGGACCGGAGCGGGGACCGGCAGCACCGAGCAGCGGCACCGGCCAGUGCCCGGAGCGUGCAGCCGGGCUGGGAAAAGCCCCCGAGGAGCAGAGAUCUGAGGGCUGCGGCUCUCGGCUCCUCGAGAAAUAACAUCAAAGCCGCGAAGGGAACGCGGCCGCCGCCCCGUCGGUAGUGGGGAAAUUCGGGCAAACGGAGCUUCCGAAGUCCCGGAGGAACGGGGAGAGAAAGCCGCCGUGCUCGGCAAUGGGGAGCGUGUGCCCCGAGCCUGGGGCUUUCCUGCCCGCGAGGACUCCUCUCUCUGCGCUUCCCCGUUUCGGACGCAUAACUGAUGAUUUGAUUUGAUUUGUUCUCGAGUUGAAGUUUUUGGGGUUCGUUUUAGGCGGUGUAAAGUCCCCAGCUGCAGCAUGCAAAGUAUUAUUGCUGCUUCUUGGUUGCUUUUUUUUUUUUUUUUUUUUUUUCCUAUAGAAAUUCGUCUCGGUAAUGUUUUCAGCUGAGGAGAGGUAAGAUUCAAUGAGGGUUAUUUCUCGAGGCGUCCCAGGCUUUUAGGAAGGGACAGCUCUGGAAAACGUAGGGGUUGCUUGGCUCAAUUUUA
rnacentral:lncRNA from 1 species